CAAAUUCGCCAUUUUGUUGAAGUGCAAUCAAUUUGUUGUUGCUUCGCCUUCGUGCGACUUUUGUAAUUCAAAGGAUUUAGGAUUUAGUAUUACCAAACACUUCUAAAACAGAUCAAGAUGGAAAAUCAACAAAGGGAAAAAGACCGUGACCGAUCAAGGCGUGGAGACCGACCAUCAAGAUUCUCAGAUGCUACACGCGACCGGUCUAAUGAUCGAGAUCGUCCGGAAGGAAAACGCUUGUUUGUUUCAAACAUACCCUAUGAGUUUCGUUGGACGGAGUUGAAAGACUUAUUCAAGGAAAAGGUGGGAGAUGUAGCUUAUGUGGAGUUAUUCAAUGAUGAGAAUGGAAAACCAAGAGGAUGUGGGGUAGUUGAGUUCACAAACUCUGAAGCAAUGAAGAAAGCUCUGUUUGUCAUGCACAGAUAUGAACUGAAUGGGAGGAAACUAGUUUUGAAAGAAGAAACUGGCAAUGAGCGCAACAGGCUUAACUCGUCAAGGUCCACAGGUGGUGGUGGUGGAAGAAAUAAUAGAGAUGACAAAGAUGGAUGGAAUAUGAACAAGCCAAGGGAACCAGAGAAUUUCAACACAUAUGGACUUAGUCUUCAGUUUUUGGACUCCAUCAAUGUACAACCACCACUUGUAAAGAAAGUUUUUGUAGCUAAUUUGGACUACAAAGCAGACAGAGCUAAAAUCAAGGAAAUCUAUAAAAUGGCUGGUAAAGUAAGGAAUAUUGACUUGGCGGUUGACAAAGAUGGUAAUAGCAGGGGAUUUGCAGUUAUUGAAUAUGACCAUCCAGUGGAGGCAGUUCAGGCCAUAUCUAUGUUUGACAAGCAAAUGCUGUAUGAUAGGAGGAUGACAGUCCGCAUGGACAGGGGACUAUCUGAUAAGACCGAGUUCAGGCUACCUGAAGGUCUGAAAGGCAUUGGUCUUGGUUUGGGACCUAAUGGAGAACCUCUGAGAGACGUUGCUAGAAACCUGCAACAGACGUCAACAACUAAUAACUUGAGUUUGGCCAACACUAAUGCACCGUUGAGCACAGGAGUGUUGGGUGCUGUGCCGACAGCAGCUAGUGUCGCUUUGAAUGGCUUGGGCUCUGGUCUGUCCACCAACUCAUUGAAUACCGGUUCUGCAUUGGGUGGAAACCUAGGACUCCAGGCUUUAGGACUGACUGGCUUAGGAGCUCUUCAAAAUCAGUUGCUGCAGCAGGGACUGACAGCAAACGACUUGGCAACAGUUCUUACCGCGCAAGCCGCAAAUGUGAACACCAAUGCUCUGACUCUGGCAAACACUGACCUUGGUUCAAGCGUAAUGAACAGCAUGAACAACAUGAACAACAUGAAUAACAUGAGUAACUCUGGCUUGACUACCAGUGUGCUGGGCAACAAUACAAGCAUGAACAGUGGACCUCUUUCUGGUUCAAACAGGCCACUGGGAGUAUCUGUAACAAACCAAGGUUACAAUCGCGAUUCAGGUGUCCAGCAAAGGGACAAACCCUCUGAUAUGGUUAUCAUAACCAAUCUUCCACCUACAGUAACAUGGCAGCUGAUCCGUGAGAAAUUCAGCGAGUGUGGAGACGUCAAGUUUGCAGAAAUGACGGCUCCAGAUACCGCCAUCGUUCGCUUCCAUAAAGAGUGGGACGCCGACAGAGCUAUCAGUAUCCUUUAAAAUUAUUAUUAUAAAACAACACAAGUGCAAUUCAUUUGCAAAUUCAUGAUAAGGCUGGCAUAAACUGAUUAUAGAGUCCAAACCAGGGCUCGAAUGUAGUUACGUAGACACUUAUUUCCUUCACGAAAGUUUUUUUUUCUUCUGAAAAAGAUAAACUUUUUCGACAAUUUUACCUAAGUCUAAUGUCCUUCUAGAAAGAAAGUUACCUAAGAGAUGUAAUAUCUGAUCUUUUCCUUAGACAGAAAUGGUUUUAAUGCCAAAUUGUGUUACAAUAAUGGUUUUCUUACACCAAACUAACAGAAAUGUUCGACAGGACCCGUAUCGACGGCAGAACCAUUGAUGUUCGCUACUUCUAAAACAUCAGUGGAACCUUGAGGUUAGUAGAUUUCUGUUACUUUUUGACAUUGGAUUCGUAGAUCGUCUUUGACUUUCUUGCAGUAGGAAAAUUCUAUGGCCAUUGUCUUGCAUUCAAAAACGUUAUAUUGCCAUUAAAAGUAAUGAAUUGAAUUUCUGUUAUUCAGUUGGUCAUGUCCCUGUUUGGCACCAUAAAAUAAAAACUUUCGGCGAUAAGUCUUCCCAUUGUAUUUCCUUUUUUGUAUUAAAUUGUGUUAUCAACGGAACCAAUUCGAUUACAUGAGAUGAUAGGUGUCCAAAAAUCUGGUGUCAUAAAAUAAAAUAGUGAAAUUGUUAUGUUUUGUGUUUUCAGGAAUAUGAGGUUUGAAGUCGGUCUGUAGUGGGCUCUGUCUAAAAACUCUGCUGCCUGGAUUUCACCUUCGUUUUUAAGUCUUUCUCGAUGUAACGUAUACUCUACAAUUCCUACAUUAUUCUUCUGGUUGAUUUCAAUCUAUCGACAUUUGUAUCUUAGGAUAAAGUAGAAUAAGUGUCUUAAUGUUUCUGUACAUCCAAUGAUUAAGAUUAAUAAAUUCCUUGAACUAAGUUUGAGACGUUCUAACUUAAAUUGAAGUUGUAGUUGUUAUUAUGUUACCUAAAGGAGAUGCAAAGAAUUUGGGAAAGCUAUCCGAAUAGUACGCCAAGUCGACUUAUGUGUACAUUUUCGGUAUCAAUUUUAUCACACCAUAUAGCAUUUUUAGGUAGUGUAACCAGUAGCUGUAUCGGUUUAGGUAAUUUUUUUGUAUCAGAAUAGGCUUCCUGAUUAUGCGCAGUCGGGUAAAAUAUGUUUUGCGUUUCAACACGUCACAGUAGGUAAUCGAAGAACAUCCUUAUUUGUGUUGUUAUUAUUAAUAACAUGCGAGUUCAAAUUAUUAUCUAACAUCGCCUCAUACAGAGAUUCGUAUGGAGGAAAGCCAUCGAUGUCAUUUGUUAUAUUUAUUGCAAUCGGCUUCAACGAAAUCGUAUUAUUUUGUUAUUAUUGGCUGCGACUAAAGUUUGUUGGAGAGUCACAGAUUGAUUAAAACGUGGGAAUGCAGUCACAACUAAAUCUGAAUUGUGUUGGUUGUUCUCCGAUUUUAGAUCACCGAUAAGCGAGGCUUCGGAGUAAAUGUCAGUUAUUGCACAGCAUCUAAGCCAGUUGCGUCCAUCCAACAAAUUAUACGUCGAGUUCUGCUUGCAAAAAUCAUUAGUCAGAAUGAAUACAGUUGCUGGUAACGAGGCGUAGUCUGUAGUUGCAAGUCACAGAGAAGAUGAGAGCGUUUAUUCCUUUUAUCUGUGGUCGAUUGAAACCGAUUUUAGCGAUAUCUGCAC